rnacentral:misc_RNA from 1 species
GAAUGAAGAACGCAGCGAAAUGCGAUAAGUAAUGUGAAUUGCAGAAUUCAGUGAAUCAUCGAAUCUUUGAACGCACAUUGCGCCCCCUGGUAUUCCGGGGGGCAUGCCUGUUCGAGCGUCAUUUCACCACUCAAGCCUCGCUUGGUAUUGGGCGACGCGGUCCGCCGCGCGCCUCAAAUCGACCGGCUGGGUCUUCCGUCCCCUCAGCGUUGUGGAAACUAUUCGCUAAAGGGUGCCGCGGGAGGUCACGCCGCAAAACAACCCCAUUUCUAAGGUUGACCUCGGAUCAGGUAGGGAUACCCGCUGAACUUAAGCAUAUCAAUAAGCGGAGGA